UACGUAGGGCGCGAGCGUUGUCCGGAAUUAUUGGGCGUAAAGAGCUCGUAGGUGGCUUGUUGCGUCUGCUGUGAAAUCCCGCGGCUCAACUGCGGGUCUGCAGUCGAUACGGGCAGGCUAGAGUUCGGUAGGGGAGACUGGAAUUCCUGGUGUAGCGGUGAAAUGCGCAGAUAUCAGGAGGAACACCGGUGGCGAAGGCGGGUCUCUGGGCCGAUACUGACGCUGAGGAGCGAAAGCGUGGGGAGCGAACAGG
rnacentral:rRNA from 1 species